rnacentral:rRNA from 1 species
UGUGCCCUACGGGGGGCAGCAGUGAGGAAUAUUGGUCAAUGGGAGGAAUCCUGAACCAGCCAUGCCGCGUGAAGGCGAGUGCCCUACGGGCGUUAAACUUCUUUUGUGCGGGAGCAAUAAGGGCCACGUGUGGCCCGAUGAGAGUACUGCACGAAUAAGCAUCGGCUAACUCCGUGCCAGCAGCCGCGGUAAUACGGGGGAUGCGAGCGUUAUCCGGAUUUAUUGGGUUUAAAGGGUGCGUAGGCGGCGCUUCAGGUCAGCGGUGAAAUACCGGGGCUCAACCCCGGGGCUGCCGUUGACACCGG